rnacentral:lncRNA from 10 species
CAGACUUUGCCCUCAAAUUAUUUACUGCAUAGUGGGUGGCCUGAAAAGCAAACAUAAGCACUAAAUAUGGAAAAAUGCAAAAGGCAAUGGGACCAUAAAAGGAACAGAUCUCUUCUAAGAUGUCUUGAUCGACUGACCCCAAAGCCAGAGGGUACCAGGUCAAAAAGCAAGAAAACAAACAAUACUGACAUUAGAGAGAAGCAAAGUUUCUAUAGAAAACCUAUUACACUGUGGUAUAAAUCAAGAUGAACCUGCAGACAUCUAUUUUAGUUUGGAAGUCUGGAAAAGUUCAAGAUUGGCCAUCUGCAGCUGGUGAGAGCCUCAGGCUGCUUCCCCUCAUGGUGGAAGGUGAAGGGGAGCUGGUGUGUGCAGAGAUUACAUGCUUUUCUAGGUCAUCAUUCUAGGCUUUGUUGAAGCAUGCAUUUUUGGCAUGAGGGUGGCAGCCUUUGCACUAUGUGCAUGGCUGAGGAGUUAGGAUCUGGAGGGUGAUGAAAGCAAAGGUGCUGCUGGUUACUCUUGGUUCAUCUAGCAAUAGAUGAUCUGAAUGUUAGAGUUCGCCAAAUAUUGUUCCUGGGCAGUCUUUGCUCUACCAAAUCAACUUUCUCCAUGGGGGAGCUAGAAGUCACCCCACAUUCUCCGCCAUGGCCAGCUCUACAUUCUAAGAGAACCAAUGGCUCUACCCAACAUAUUCUUCUCACCACAGAUGACAAAGACACAAGGAGCCAAGACAGAUCAUUCAAGCAUAUUCAUUGCCUCUAUCUUCAUCCCAUUAAAUAACAUCCCGCCAACCAAAGCAAGUUAUCUGCAUAAGAAUAAAUAUUCCACCUACUCUACUGCAAGGCCCUGCAAGAGUCAUGAGACAAAAGGAUCCUCUGUGGACAGCACCCAAGAUGGAAACAACUGACAGUCUAUGGCCAGGGCUAUACUCUGGUGAAACUGAAAGGUGUCUGCAUGGAAGUGUCUGACUACCACCAUCCACUCAGGCAAAUGCAUUUGUUUCCCUCUAUUCAUUAUUAGAAGAGAGGAGAUUACAUACCAGACAUAUACCAAUAGGUAAGUUGACUAUCUUGACAGCACUCACAAUAGUCUUUUACUCAUACCUACUCUUCUUCCCAAAUCUGUAUUUGAGGUCAGAUUGCCCUGCAUAAUUCAUAGAUCAAUGUACAUAGUCUAACAGAAAUAAAUUAAUGUAUUAUUUUUAAAGUUUGAGGUGAGAUAGAACAAAGCAAAAAGGCAUAUACUGGUUUUCUGACAAUUUGAAGUUUUGUUAAUGUCAAAAAGUCUUUCAGGGUCCCUUUUACUUUUCUAUCUAUAGAACUUUAAUUGUUGAGAUUUUACCUCCUAAGAUUACAACACAAGCCCACUUCUUUAUGUGGUAUUAUAAGAAUCAAUGCAUUCAAAUUGAUAUAUGAGGGUAUGAAUGGUUAUUUAGACUUGUUCAUUGGCCAUUUGGAAAACGUUAGCCACAUGGCUGAGAACACUGUGGCAUAGAGUUUUGAUUAGUGUAGUCCCUGAAACUUUGGCCCAGAGGGAAGAUGAAAGAAUAUGAAACUCUAUUUUGAUGGUUUUGAAAGGGUAGGGAGGUAGGAAAGAAGAUAUUUACCCUGCUUUCCAUAGGAGUGUUGUAUUUCUUGUGGCAAAAUAUGUUAACUUUGAAUUAUUAUCUCUUUCAAAUCUAUACUUGUUAUAGUUAAAAGUUCUCCUUUGAUUUUAGAAAUAGAUUGAUUGUUGCCUUAGUAGAUAGUAGUUUUCUGAGGUUUUGCCUUUAGUGCUACCUCCAUAAAUUUGGGAGGAAUUUGGAAUUGGUUAUAUUAGGAAAAUAGACAUAAUUUUGAUAAGCCUGGAUAGACUGGAUAAAGGAAAUGUGGUAAAUAUACACUGUGGAAUACUAUGCAGCCAUAAAAAAGAAUGAGAUGAUGUCCUUUGCAGGGACAUGGACAGAGCUAGAGGGCAUUAUCCUUAGCAAACAAACACAGAAUGAGAAAGCCAAAUACCGCAUGUUCUUAAUUAAAAGUGGGAGGUAAAUGAUGAGAACACAUGGAUACAUAGAGGGGAACAAUACACAUUGGGGCUUUCAGAGGCUGGAGGGUGGGAGGAGGAAGAGGACCAAAAAAUAAAUAAUGGGUCCUAGGCUUAAUACCUGGGUGAUAAAAUAAUCUGUACAACAAACUCCCAUGACACAAGUUCACCUAUAUAACAAACCUUCAUUUGCACCUCUGAAUGUAAAAGUUAAAAAAAGUUAGUAUGUAUACAUCAAAACACACAGGAACAUGCUGUAUUAAUAAUUAAUUAUUGCUCAAAAGUCUAAAAUUUAUAUUGAUAAAGUAAUUAACUUUUCUUUUGUAAACAUGGCAUUCAAGAUUGCUUUGCCUAAAAUGUUGGGUGGUCAAAUAUCUUAAAUGAGAUUGGCAGUAGAAUCAGUGUAGUGAAAGAUGGGAUCUGAAUGUUGAGAUACUUGUUAGGAGAUUGGCACUCUUAAAGAAUUAAACAGAAAUUUUUUUAAAAAGGACAAGUAACUUCAA